rnacentral:lncRNA from 1 species
AUGGCUGAGGAAGGCAUUGCUGCUGGAGGUAUAAGGGACGUUACUACUGCUUUACAAGAGGUGCUGAAGACCACCCUCAUCCAUGAUGGCCUAGCAUGUGGAAUUCACAAAGCUGCCAAAGCCUUAGACAGGCACCAAGCUCAUCUUUGUGUGCUUGCAUCUAAUUGUGAUGAGCCCAUGUAUGUUAAGUUGGUGGAGGCCCUUUGUGCUGAACCCCGGUUGAUGACAAGAAGAAACUGGGGAAUGGGUAAGCCUCUAUAAAACUGACAGAUGGGGGAAACCCCGUAAAGUGGUUGUUUGCAGUUGUGCAGUAAUUAAGAACUAUGGCAAGGAGUCUCAGGCCAGGAUGUCAUCAGAGAAUACUUCAAAUGAAUAAA